rnacentral:rRNA from 1 species
AGAGUUUGAUCCUGGCUCAGAAUGAACGCUGGCGGCAUGGAUUAGGCAUGCAAGUCGAACGGGUCCCCUCGGGGACUAGUGGCGCAAGGGUGAGUAACACGUGAGCAACCUGCCCCUGAAUCCGGAAUAAACCAGGGAAACUUGGCCUAAAACCGGAUGUUGGCCUUUGUCCGCAUGGACCUUGGCCGAAAUAUUCAUAGUUCGGGGAUGGGCUCGCGUCCCAUUAUGCUUGUUGGCGGGGUAACGGCCCACCAAGGCUACGACGGGUAGGUGGUCUGAGAGGAUGGUCACCCACACUGGGACUGAGACACUGCCCAGACUCCUACGGGAGGCUGCAGUCGAGAAUCUUCCGCAAUGGGCGCAAGCCUGACGGAGCAAUGCCGCGUGAGGGAUGACGGCCUUCGGGUUGUAAACCUCUGUCAUCCGGGACGAAACCAAUGACGGUACCGGAAAAGGAAGCCACGGCUAACCACGUGCCAGCAGCCGCGGUAACACGUGGGUGGCGAGCGUUAUUCAGAUUUACUGGGCGUAAAGGGUCCGCAGGGGGCCUGCCACGCCCGCCGUGAAAUUUCAGGGCUCAACCCUGAACCUGCGGCGGGUACGGGCGGGCUGGAGUGCAGGAAGGGCAGACGGAAUUCCAGGUGUAGCGGUGGAAUGCGUAGAUAUCUGGAGGAACACCGAUGGCGAAGGCGGUCUGCUGGCCUGCAACUGACCCUCAUGGACGAGAGCGUGGGUAGCAAACAGGAUUAGAUACCCUGGUAGUCCACGCCGUAAACGUUGUGUGCUAGAUGUGGGUGGGUUCGGCCC